UAUUUUGAAAAUUAUUCACUUAAUUGGACUAAGUCCACACCAUGCUGAGAUGUUUCAUUUACAUCAUGAGGCCCUUUCCUGUUGCCACAUAAUCUGCAGUAUCUAACCCUUUCGUUAUCAAGAUCUGUGCAAUCUUCUAAGGAAAAAUUACAUGUUUGGCCCAUUAACAGCAUCAAGGAGGACAUUGUUCAGUUUGGCAUAUUCGUAUUGUUGUUGGAGAAAGACUUUGUCACAGGAAGUAGUAUGCACAGACAGCACAGGGAGAAGGACAUCAGCACCAAGGGGAAGGCCAGCAGAACAGAUAGAAGAGGGGUGACAAACAGCAGAGGUCAGGGGAGUGAGGCAACCGCAUGAAUACCACCCCAGCACUGGAAGAGCCAUCAAGAGCAGUCUGCUGUGGAGCCACACUAUGUUCAGCUCAGUGUUAUGUUCAGCUAAGUGUUUGGUAACCAUGACUGUGGACUGAUGAACUGUAACAUUAAGCUAAGUGCUUCCACACUGUGUGUGUGUGACAUUUAUGAAGUACCAUGAUGACCAGUGGAAACCUUGUACACAUGACAAACCGAUUCCCUCCCUGCUCCACUGUAGUAUACGUACACUAGUAGCUAUGUGUUGUCCUUGGCCUGCUCCAUCUCAGCACGCCUUUCUUGGCUAGAACGACAACAGGCUUGUGGAGUCCCCGUCAUCGUUCCUGACACCCCACUGUGAUCUGCUCACUGUGACUUACAGCCUAGAGGGAGAAGGAAGACACCGUCUGUGUUGCCACCAGGUAAUGAGGACUGGAGUGAGCCCUAUGCACAAGCACCUGCACCAACAGGUCCCACCCGGCUACUGGACAGUCCCGUACCUGCAUUGGGGGAAAAAACCUCCUGCCACUCCAGAGUGCUUCCACUAUCUGUCUGGUUACCAUAAGGCACAACCCUAUGGGCCACCGUACAUUGAGCUUGGACCGGUGCCCUGAUAAGGCAGAGCAGAUGCCGAACACAGCCCUGACAUCAGCAUGGAGCCCAGCACGCCACCCUCCUACACCUGCCAUUCCAGUCCUGCCCCCAGAGGACCAUCCAUACCCAUCUCCACUAGCCACAUUGGCCCAGACCAGUGGAAACCCGUCCUCCCCCAGCGCCAGCUGUUCCCAGCUUUGCCUCAGUGCAGCCCGUUACCACCAGCCAUUGUAGUCUUCCCUCAGUGGAGACCUGUCUUCCCUCAUCCAUACCAGCUGCUCCGGCCCUGCUCACACAGACUGGCCGCCCCAACCCCCUUGAUCCUAAUCACCUCAAGAAAUGUUUGACCUAAAACCUCUAUUUCUGUACACAUGCUGAUUGAAGAGUGGGGUGCCAUGCCACAGCAGUGUGUGAACAGUCUGGGAAUCAGCACAAGGAAGAGGUGAUUACAGCCUACGGUGUAUAUUAUUUACAGUGCUUAAAACAUGCUGUGCACGUGAAUCUUGGCAACUCUACUUUUUUGACUCACCUUUUUGAAGCGUGACUAUGUGGUGUGUAGUAUGCCCCCUCCAUGUGUGUGCUUAUGUUGACGCAGUGAAGAGAGACACCAUCAGUGUUGCCACCAGCCAACGAGGACUGGAGUGAGCCCUACGCACAAUACACCUGCACCAACAGGUCCCACCCAGCUACUGGACAGCCCCGUGCCUGCGUUGGGGGAAAAACCUGCCACGUCAGAGGGCUUCCACCAUCUGUCUGGUUACCAUGAGACACAGCCCCAUGGGCCUCCGCACAUUGAGUUUCGCCCGGUGCCCUGGUAAGGAAGAGCAGAUGCUGAACGCAGCCCUGACAUCAGCAUGGAGCCCAAAAUGCCACCCUCCUACAUCUGCCAUUCCAGUCCUGUCCUGGGAAGACCAUCCAUACCCAUCUCCACUAGCCACACUGGCCUGGUCCCAGUGAUGCAGCCCGUCCUCCCCCAGUGCCAGGUGUUCCCAGCUUUGCCCCAGUGGAGCCCGUUACCAACAGCCUUUGUAGUCUCUCCUCAGUGGAGACCCAUCUUCCCUCAUCCAUACCAGCUGCUCCAGCCCUGCUCACACAGACUGGCCACCCCAACCCCCUUGAUCCUAAUCACCUCAAGAAAUGUUUUAACUAAAACCUCUAUUUCUGUACACAUGCUGAUUGAAGAGUGGAAUGCCAUGCCACAGCAGUGUGUGAACAGUCUGGGAAUCAGCAUGAGGAAAAGGUGUCACAAUUCUGUGGCUAUGUUUUGUUCAGUCACAUCUAACUGGGCGACAAAAUUGAGCUUAUGGAGGUGGCAAUGGUGCCAUACAGGAAGCCUUGACAGCACCUCAUCCACAUCCUCAUGCACCUUCAAUACAUCCCCACCACAUGUGUCCCCCUCCUUACCCUCAAAUCACUCACUGCCCACUACCUUGCAGAUCUCUAUCCACACAGCACCCUGAGGUCCCUGUGGGUCGUUGACUAAGGAGUCUCAGGACCUUUGGUGAUGGAGCGUUCUGUGCAACUGGCCCCAUUUUAUGAAACCAACAAGAAGCAUUGAUCACUUUUUGUGAAGCGUACUGUAUGUAUGUGUGAAAUCAUCUCACAAUGAGAUUAUUCAAUAUAUUUACAUUUUCAUAACUAGCAAAUUUUGAUGUCAUAAUAGUUGUGUUAAAUAAACAUGUACACGU